rnacentral:rRNA from 1 species
UACGGAGGAUCCGAGCGUUAUCCGGAUUUAUUAGGUUUAAAGGGUGCGCAGGCGGGAGAUUAAGUCGGCGGUGAAAUUUUGCAGCUCAACUGUAAAAGUGCCUUCGAAACUGGUUUCCUUGAGUGUGGAUGAAGUAGGCGGAAUUUGUGGUGUAGCGGUGAAAUGCAUAGAUAUCACGAGGAACUCCGAUUGCGCAGGCAGCUUACUAAACCAUAACUGACGCUCAGGCACGAAGGCGUGGGGAUCAAACAGGAUUAGAUACCCGU